CCUCUAAGCACCUUUCUAAGGCAUUUAGCUGCUCCUUUUCCAACUCCCGAACUAAUUUUACCACGACCAGACCGUGUGAAUCAAAAUACAAAGUGAGUUAUAAUUUGUUUGUACACAACUAUCAAAAUACACAGAAAAAUCCUUAAUGCGUAUAGGCCUGCAAUGCCUCUCUUUAUAUUCCUUGAAUUCAGACCUGAUUAAAAACCAAAGGAGACAGGCAGGUUAUUGGCACUGUUCCCUGGGCUGCUUCUCCCCCACCCUCCAACAUUCCGUUGUGUCUGGGUCAGUUUAGACUCCGCCAAACGUGCAAUAAACUCAAAGUUCACAUUUCUGGAAUAGUUUCAGAGAAAAUAAUGUCCAAUUUAGGAUAUUGAAACCUAUGAUUAUUAUAACUGCAAUGGAAAUCCAUUGCCGACAAUACUAGAUGUCCCGGUAGCUACACUAUUUAACACAAGAACUGGUUUCAAACAGUUUGUAUUAUAGUAACUCGUUGUUGUUUCUCCCUCUUCUCUCGUUUUCUGGAGGACUGAUGAAGCUGUUUUACAAGCCGACCAACUGAUAAUGUAUACUUGCUCGCCCCUUCUCUCUAAAACAUUUUGUUGGCGGUGCUGACGUUUCCACAUAGUUGAAAUGGACCAAUACAGGAUACAGCGCGAAGGCAGCAUUACUCCUGAAGUGAAUAGUCCUGCGUUCGCCGCCAUUUUCCAAAGCUGCAACAUGGAGAAUUAAUAUAUGUAUUCAAAAGAUCAGGAGUACUUACGUGUUCCAGGAGGCUAUAUUGUUUUCAUCCGCUCAAAAAUACUCAGAUUCUGAAUGCCUGGUAUUUUUUUCUGUAUUAACAAUACAUUUUCAGUGCUUGCAGAGUGACUGCCUGCUAAAAAAAAAAAAAGGGCUUUGUUUCUCUUCUUCUUUCUUCCCGCCCCCUGCCUCGCGCCGUACAAGCGAAACAACUAUCCCUGCUACAGCUGAUGUGGGAACGGGUGAGACUAUCCAUUAAUUAUUAUUAAAAUCAGGAAAAAACACCAUGAAACUAUCAGAACACUGACUUUGAAGACCAAUAUGUAUGUCCUAUCAUAUCAAAACCAGAUGAUUCUACGUUUUUUGCGUUCGUCUCAAUUCUGUUUCAAUUCCACCCUGUCAGUAACCAGGACAAAAAGAAUGGAAAGCCACAGGACACGCAUUUCCAGUUAAUUGUCCCUACAUAAUGUUUUAUAUAUCGAUUUUUGUUGGCUGCUUCUUGCAGCUGAUCAGUUGUUUGGAGUCAAAUAAAGGUGUUUGCUUGCAGUA